rnacentral:lncRNA from 1 species
ACCGUAGAUGGACCAACAACUAGGAAACACACGAAAACACCUUAUUUUUUAUCAGACAAUAAAACGAUGCAGCUUACCUUAGGUAGGGUGUAUUUGGGGUGCUAAUACCUUCCCUUUACGCAACCAGUCCCCGUACCUGAUCUCUGAGACCAGUAGGGUUCCUAGUGACCAAAAUACUAGGUGGCGACUCCCACACCAUUUUUCACUGCUAAGAGACAACGAAUUCCUUGUCUCCCCACAGUAACCAGAUAUAUAUAUCCCCACAUUACCCUCAUUACAUUUUUUUUUUUUGGGUGGACGAUCGCUGCGACGUCGCUCACGUGCG